rnacentral:rRNA from 1 species
UACGUAGGGGGCAAGCGUUGUCCGGAAUUACUGGGCGUAAAGAGCUUGUAGGUGGUUUGUCGCGUUGUUCGUGAAAUCUCACGGCUUAACUGUGAGCGUGCGGGCGAUACGGGCAGACUAGAGUACUGCAGGGGAGACUGGAAUUCCUGGUAUAGCGGUGGAAUGCGCAGAUAUCAGGAGGAACACCGGUGGCGAAGGCGGGUCUCUGGGCAGUAACUGACGCUGAGGAGCGAAAGCAUGGGGAGCGAACAGG